rnacentral:rRNA from 1 species
UACAAUGGCCGGUACAAAGGGCUGCGAUACCGCGAGGUGGAGCGAAUCCCAGAAAGCCGGUCUCAGUUCGGAUUGGGGUCUGCAACUCGACCCCAUGAAGUCGGAGUCGCUAGUAAUCGCAGAUCAGCAACGCUGCGGUGAGCACGUUCCCGGGCCUU